GUGUAGGUUUCCAUCUUGGCUUCAACGCUGUUGUUGGGCCCCUAUGGGUGAUGGGCCUUCCCUGUGUCCCGCUCAGCCUGAGAGCCCUGCAGACUCCAUCUGGAAACCAUCAGAGCAGCCCACCAUCCAAGCACUAGCUACACCUCGGCCCUGGGCUGGGGAAGCAGAGGAGCUGUCAACCCGCACCCAGGAACCUGAUGCAUUUCCGGGAGCCCUGCCUUCUUCCCAAACCCCUGGCCAGCUCCUUCCCAGGGGCCGGCUUUGCUGCAGGCACAUCCUGCCUCAUGGCUGCCUCCUGCCAUUCAUGCCCUGCUCCAAGUUGCUGGGUCACAGGGCUGUCCAGGAAGGCCUUUCCCAUGCUGCUCCUUCUCCCUGAUUAGCCUUAAGCAGCGCGCAUCUGCCAAUCUGCCGAGGCGCUGAAGUUGUGAAAUAGGAAGGGGAGGAAGUUGAUGGCGUCAGCUACGGAGACCACAGAGCCACUAGGAAACAAACCCAAAUAAUGCUGCGGAGCGGGACGGCCGAAAGACAGCGGCACUGCCACCAUACUCUGCACCGGUCAGUCCUGCACCCGAGACCCGGGGAGGCCUCAGGAUGCUUCCUGUUGGAGCCAAGCGAGCUGCCAUCAUGUGCUUGAAAGGGACAUGGAGAUAGCACUGCGUGGUCACCUGUGUCCAGAAGACUCUGAAACGGCUGAGCUUUUCCACCCAGCAGAACCAGCCCUAACAGGUGACUGGUGGAGGGGCUGCGGGCCAAACAGAGAAAGUGCAGGGAUGGGCAGAGACCGCAGCCUCCCCUUCCUGGGCACACAGGUACACUAGAUCCCUUGCGGCCAUGUGACUGGCUCUAGCCAGUGGGAUGCCAGGAGCUGAGCAGCUCCUCCGGGCCUGGCCCUCUCCUCCCACCUUGGAGCCAGGGGAUGAAGAGGGUGGAGUGAUAGCCUAGAAGGGAUGUAGGUACCAGCUGCCGCCCGGAGGAGAGCUGCCUGCCGGGCAAGAAGAUCCAUUUCAGAUUUUAUGUGAGCAAAAAGGAAAGUUCUAUCAUAUUUGAGCCAUAUAUAGGUUUAGUUGUUGUAGCAGUUAGUGCUGUCAUAAGGGAGCCAAGCCUGAGGGACCUCGAAUAAGAUUGAAGGGGGGCCCAGGGGUCCAGGUCAGAGAGCAGAGGACCCAGAAGUGCUGGGGUCAGGAUGGAGUAGAACCCAGCGUUGGGCAAGACAGGAGGAAACACACAGUGCAAGGAGACACCUGGGGAGGCUGCAAGGCAGGUGAGGUGGGGCAAGCAGACCUUCCACUGACUCCCCAGGUCUCCAAAAUGCCAAGAGACCCAUGCUUUCUCCUCCUUCCCCUCGCACCCUCUUCCCCUGGACCCCUUUUUGUUCCUGUGUCCCCUCUAAGGGGCAGACCUUGCCAC
rnacentral:lncRNA from 1 species